rfam:Camelus ferus unplaced genomic scaffold scaffold472, whole genome shotgun sequence.
GAGGGUAUAGCUCAGCGGUAGAGUACAUGCCUAGAAAGCACAGGUCCUGGGUUCAAUCCCCAGUACCUCUA